GACGAACCGUACGAACGUUAUUCGGAAUUACUGGGCUUAAAGGGUGCGUAGGCUGCGCAGCAAGUUGGGUGUGAAAUCCCUCGGCUUAACCGAGGAACUGCGCCCAAAACUGCUGUGCUCGAGGGAGACAGAGGUGAGCGGAACUUAGGGUGGAGCGGUGAAAUGCGUUGAUAUCCUAAGGAACACCGGUGGCGAAAGCGGCUCACUGGGUCUCUUCUGACGCUGAGGCACGAAAGCCAGGGGAGCGAACGGG
rnacentral:rRNA from 1 species